UGGGGAAUAUUGCACAAUGGGCGCAAGCCUGAUGCAGCGAUGCCGCGUGAGGGAAGAAGGUUUUCGGAUUGUAAACCUCUGUCAUCAGGGACGAAAAAAGACGGUACCUGAGAAGGAAGCUCCGGCUAACUACGUGCCAGCAGCCGCGGUAAUACGUAGGGAGCAAGCGUUAUCCGGAAUUACUGGGUGUAAAGGGAGUGUAGGCGGGACUGUAAGUCAGAUGUGAAAUAUGCCGGCUCAACUGGCAGACUGCAUUUGAAACUGUAUCUCUUGAGUGUCGGAGAGGUAGAUGGAAUUCCUAGUGUAGCGGUGAAAUGCGUAGAUAUUAGGAGGAACACCAGUGGCGAAGGCGAUCUACUGGACGAUAACUGACGCUGAGGCGCGAAAGCGUG
rnacentral:rRNA from 1 species